rnacentral:rRNA from 1 species
AAGUAGUGCCUAUGCGCUAUUUAGUGGCAAACGGGUGAGUAACACGUAGCUUAGCUGUCCUAAAGUGGGGGAUAGCCGCGGAAAGCCGCGGGUAAUACCGCAUGUGAUCUACGGAUUAAAGCUUAAUGCGCUUUAGGAGGUGGCUGCGGCCCAUCAGGUUGUUGGCGGGGUAAUGGCCCACCAAGCCUAUGACGGGUAUCCGGCCUGAGAGGGUGAUCGGACACAUUGGAACUGAGACACGGUCCAGACUCCUACGGGAGACAGCAGCUAGGAAUUUUCCGCAAUGGACGAAAGUCUGACGGAGCAACGCCGCGUGAAGGAUGAAGGUCUUUAGGGAUUGUAAACUUCUUUUAUAUGAGACGAGUAAGGACGGUAUCAUAAGAAUAAGUCCCGGCUAACUACGUGCCAGCAGCCGCGGUAAUACGUAGGGGGCUAGCGUUGUUCGGAAUUACUGGGUAUAAAGGGUGCGCAGGCGGAUUUCUAAGCAAGAGGUGAAAUGUCAAGGUUCAACCAUGGCACUGCCUUUUGAACUGGUUAUCUGGAGUACAGAAGGGGAGAGCAGAAUUUCCGGUGUAGGGGUGGAAUCUAUAGAUAUCGGAAGGAAUACCGUUCGCGAAGGCGGCUCUCUGGUCUGCUACUGACGCUCAUGCA